UACAGGGGAAAUUGGGGCUGUGAGGGUUGUGAAGGUGUCAAGGCUUUGGGGGUGUUUAGAUGAAAGAGGGACUGUGGAGGGUAUUGGGAAGGUGGGCUGAUGUUGGGAGGUGUCAGAACUGUGAGGGUGUUGACCUGAAGAAGGGGCUGGGGGGUGUCCAUGGAGAGAUGUCAGGGGUGCCCCCUCCCAUCAAAACCCAUAUGACCCUGACCCUCAACCCCCUUAUGUUAAAAUCAGUGUUGGAGUGUGGACCCGAGGGAGGGGUUUGAGGGUGCUGGGAUCAUGGGAGAUAUUGGGGUGCCAGGGCUGUUGGGGUGUUGACAAGUGUCAGGACUGUGGGGGAUAUUGGGAUGCUUGGGCAGGGGUUGAGGUGCACUAUCGUAGGUAGAGGUGUUGCUCUGUUUUGCCCCUGCCCUACUGUGUGGUGGUCUGAGGAGCAGGAUAAGACUCACCCCAUCCAGAGGACAGGGCACAAGCGGUGACCUAAUGACCCAUAAGUCUGAGCCUGUAACCAGAAAUGGAAGAGCUGGAUGGUUUGGGUCUCUGGAGGCAGAGAUUGGACCCUUACGGGAGCAGACACAAAUGGGUGAAACCUCAAUUGAUACAGUUUUACUGGAGUUUUACUGAGCACUGUUGUUACUAUUAUUUGUUUUGCCAUCAUGGCAAGGAGCCUGUUACAAACCAGGACUACUUUAUGCUUGGCAGUGUACAAACAACAUCGCAGUCCCUGGCCCAAGAGGCUUAAGAUAUAAUCAUGAAAGCUAAUUUUGUUUACUGCUACUUAAAGGGUGCCAUGGGGAAGAAUAUUGUGCAGCUGAGAGACUGCUCUAACAGCGUGGGCCUGUGGUGGCAUUACAUCUGGGAUGAGAUCUGCUUCUGAGAGCAGGCUGGGAGUAGCUGAAUGGGAAGCCGGUGUCCCAGGAGCAGAAAAGUCCAGCGAUGGAGAAGGA